GGGCGCUUGGCACAGUGGUAGCGCGCCUGCUUUGCAUUCUACCUUGCAAUUUGCAUGAGGUCGAGGGUUCAAACCCCUCAGCGUCCA
rnacentral:tRNA from 1 species